GCCAUAACAGCAGCCUGCCCAGGCUCCCUGGGUGUUGGGCUCGGCGGCUCGGGCGGUCUGUCUGCUGUUCCUGUCGUCAACGAUUUCUCGGUGUUCACUUCGUGGAAAAGCGCACGCCGUCGAAAUGCCCAGCUACGGUAGCUACUGCUGCGUAGCGUGGUGCUCUAACAACGGAAGAACGUGCAAGAAACCGGGAACAAAGUUUUUCCGGGUUCCACGGGACAGCAGGUCUAAGGCGUGGGUCGAGUACGCCAAGAGACAUGACCUCAUGGACAAACCGGCGGCGCGCCUAUAUGCGAGCUACUACGUGUGCAGCGACCACUUCACUGUACACGACUUCAUGGACCCUGGACGAACGAGGCUCACAAAAACAGCAGUGCCCAGUGUUCGUCCCC